rnacentral:rRNA from 1 species
GACGAACGCUGGCGGCGUGCUUAACACAUGCAAGUCGAGCGGAAAGGCCCUUCGGGGUACUCGAGCGGCGAACGGGUGAGUAACACGUGAGUAACCUGCCCUAGGCUUUGGGAUAACCCCGGGAAACCGGGGCUAAUACCGGAUAUGACCUGGUGCCGCAUGGUGUUGGGUGGAAAGUUUUUUCGGCCUGGGAUGGGCUCGCGGCCUAUCAGCUUGUUGGUGGGGUGAUGGCCUACCAAGGCGAUGACGGGUAGCCGGCCUGAGAGGGCGACCGGCCACACUGGGACUGAGACACGGCCCAGACUCCUACGGGAGGCAGCAGUGGGGAAUAUUGCACAAUGGGCGGAAGCCUGAUGCAGCGACGCCGUGUGAGGGAUGAAGGCCUUCGGGUUGUAAACCUCUUUCAGCAGGGACGAAGCGUGAGUGACGGUACUUGCAGAAGAAGCGCCGGCCAACUACGUG